rnacentral:rRNA from 1 species
UACGUAGGGCGCAAGCGUUGUCCGGAAUUAUUGGGCGUAAAGAGCUCGUAGGCGGUCUGUUACGUCCGCUGUGAAAACCCAGGGCUUAACCCUGGGCUUGCAGUGGAUACGGGUAGACUAGAGGCAGGUAGGGGAGAAUGGAAUUCCCGGUGUAGCGGUGAAAUGCGCAGAUAUCGGGAGGAACACCGGUGGCGAAGGCGGUUCUCUGGGCCUUACCUGACGCUGAGGAGCGAAAGCGUGGGGAGCGAACAGGG